rnacentral:rRNA from 1 species
AUGGCCGGCUUUUCGAACGCCGCCACCUGUGCUCUCCUCCUCCCCCUCCUCAUCUUCUCCUACCAUCCUACUCCUGCCGUCUCCUUCUCCCUCAACUUCCCCGAGUUCACCACAGCAGAGCGGAAAGACAUCAAGAUCGAAGGCGACGCGUCCUUCAUCGGCAACGCAUCCAUGGGAUCGAUCGACAUGAGCGCAAACUUGUACGGUAGCGUCAGCCGGGCGUCCUACAACACCCAGCCGGUGCAACUCUGGGACAAGGCGGCCGGCAAGGUGGCCAGCUUCACCACGCGGUUCGAGUUCCUCAUGUCCAGCGGCAGUAACGACGAGGUGGGCAUGGCCUUUUUCCUCGCCGGCUAUCCGUCUAGCCUCCCUGCCGGCGGCACUGUCCACAGCCUCGGCCUCACCGACCAAAACGCAGACUCCGUGGCGUCCGGCGACAGCCGGUUUGUAGCGGUGGCGUUCGACACCUUCAACAAUCCAAUGGCGUCUGACCCCACCGCCAGCUACGAUUAUGACCACAUCGGCAUCUACGUCAACUCCCUCAGAUCGGUGAGCACACUGAAGUUGCAGGGCUCCACUCUCACGAGCGGCACCCUGAUUUUGUCCGUGAUCGAGUACGACAAUGUCUCCAACGUCUUAGCGGUCACGUUAUGGGAUCAAGACCAACAGAGUUACUACCUUAACUCCAAGGUUGACCUGAAGAGCGCACUGCCGGAGCAGGUCUCCAUUGGCUUCUCCGCCUCCACGUCCAGCGGCGAGUGCGCCGCCGCCGCCGUCGUCGGAAAAUCAUGGAGACGGAAGAGUACUACACAGACUCAGAAGAAGACGAAGGCGAGCCGAUGUCCGGGGACGGGGCCAAGGCGGUUCCCAUACCACGAGCUCGUGGAACCGACCAGGAACUUCGCCGCGGAGGAGAAGCUUGGGCAAGGCGGCUUUGGCGCCGUAUACCAAGGCUAUUUGAGAGAGCCAGCUGGGCUUGCCGUGGCCAUAAAAAGGUUGCAGUCUUCCAUACAAGGAAAGAAGGAGUACAAAUCCGAGGUCAAGGUGAUAAGCAGGCUGCGUCACCGGAACCUCGUGCAGCUCAUCGGCUGGUGUCAUGGCCAUGAUCAGGAGCUCCUGCUGGUCUACGAGCUCAUGCCCAACCGUAGCCUCGACAUCCAUCUCCAUGGCAAGCAGGGCACCUUCCUCACAUGGGAAAUGAGGAUGAAGAUAUUGCUGGAGCUUGGGUCUGCCCUGCUCUACCUUCACGAGGAGUGGGAGCAAUGCGUGCUUCACCGGGACAUCAAGCCCAGCAACGUCAUGCUUGACGAGUCCUUUGGCGCCAAGCUAGGCGACUUCGGGCUAGCCAGGCUUGUUGACCACGCCGCUGGGAUGCAGACCAUGACCGCAAUCUCGGGAACUCCAGGCUACUUGGACCCCGAUUGCGUGAACACCGGCAAGGCCAGCGCCGAGUCCGACGUGUACAGCUUCGGUGUGGUUCUACUGGAGGUGGCAUGCGGCAGGAGGCCAAUGAGCAUAACCCCGGCCGACCAGGACAAGCAGAAGAAUGGCGGCGUCUUCCGGCUGGUCGAGUGGGUCUGGGGACUAUAUGGCCGGGGAUCCAUCCUUGAGGCCGCCGACGAGCGGCUGAAUGGUGACUACGACGCGGCAGAGGUGGAGACGGUGAUGGUCGUCGGGUUGUGGUGCGCGCACCCAAACCCAAGCGUGCGGCCGUCCAUCCGGACAGCCAUGGCCACGCUCCAGCCCAAGGUCGACCAAGCCUACCAGCUGCCCGUGCUUCCUUCCAAGAUGCCAGUGCCCAUGUAUGAGCCGGCGCCGCCGCUCUCCUGGGCCAAUGUCGUUGGGAUGUCAUCAUCAUCCUCCCACACCAUUGGGAUGUCGUCGUCGACGUCGUCCAGCAUGCCGCUGCACACUUCUUAUGACCAUGAUAAACAUAAAAUCACUUGUUCUCUGAAUAGUUUAUGGUGCUCAACAGACGGAAACAACAUCAAGAUCGAAGGCGACGCAUCCUUCAACGUCGGAUGGAUCGACAUCAACGCCAAUAGGCACAAUGGUAUCGAAGGCAGCAAUGGUCGGGCAUGGUACAACGCCCAGCCGAUGUUGCUCUGGGACAAGGCGACAGGCGAGGUGGACAGCUUCACCACGCGCUUCACGUUCGCCAUUGUAGGUGACAUAAACAACAAGGGGCAGGGCAUGGCCUUUUUCCACACCGCUCAAUCUAGCAUGCCGGCCAACUGCCCCAGCUACAUCCUCGGCCUCACCGACCAGAGCCCAGGCGAGCUGGCCUCCGGUGACAGCCGGUUCGUGGCGGUAGAGUUCGACACUUUCAAUAAUACAGAUGUGCCUGACCCCGACACCAGCUAUGACCACAUUGGCAUAGACGUCAACUCCCUAGUAUCGAUGGAAACAUUGUCCCUAGAGAGCUUUGACCUCAUGGACAACCUGACCGCCGAGAUCGAGUACGAUGGCGUUUCCAGCAUCUUAAAUAUGACAGUAUGGCUCGGUGAUGAUAAAUAUGGCCGGCCGAGAGGCAGGAUUUACUGGCUUAGCUUCGAGGUUGACCUCAAGAGUGCACUGCCGGAGCAGGUCUCCGUUGGCUUCUCCGCGUCCACGUCCACGUCCGCGGAAGUGCAUCAGUUACACUCUUGGUCCUUCAACUCUUCGUUGGAACCACAGGCCCCACCACCACCACCACCACCACCACCACCACCAGGGCGAGGCCCAGGCAAGCCGAUGACGGAGAUAGCGAUGAGGAUGGGGCCAAGAUGGUUCCCAUACCAGGAGUUGGUGGAAGCCACGAGGAACUUCGCCGCGGACGAGAAGCUUGGGCAAGGUGGCGUCGGCGCUGUAUACCGAGGCUAUCUGAGAGGAGAGCCAGCUGGUCUAGGAGUUGCCAUAAAGAGAUUCUCCAACUCCAAGCAUGAGGAGUCUUCCAUUCAAGGAGAAAGGGAGUACAGGUCAGAGAUCAAGGUGAUAAGGAGGCUGCGUCACCGGAACCUUGUGCAGCUCCUCGGCUGGUGCCAUGACCGCGAGGAGCUGUUGCUGGUCUACGAGCUCAUGCCCAACCGCAGCCUCGACAUCCAUCUCCGUGGCAAGCAGGGCACCUUCCUCACGUGGCCAAUGAGGAUGAAGAUAUUGCUGGAGCUUGGGUCUGCACUGCUCUAA